rnacentral:rRNA from 1 species
GACGAACGCUGGCGGCGUGCUUAACACAUGCAAGUCGAACGAUGAAGCUGGAGCUUGCUCCGGUGGAUUAGUGGCGAACGGGUGAGUAACACGUGAGCAAUCUGCCCUUGACUCUGGGAUAACUGCGGGAAACUGUAGCUAAUACCGGAUACUUUCACUGGAAGGCAUCUUCAGGUGAAGAAAGAAUUUCGGUCAAGGAUGAGCUCGCGGCCUAUCAGCUUGUUGGUGAGGUAACGGCUCACCAAGGCGACGACGGGUAGCCGGCCUGAGAGGGUGACCGGCCACACUGGGACUGAGACACGGCGCAGACUCCUACGGGAGGCAGCAGUGGGGAAUAUUGCACAAUGGGCGCAAGCCUGAUGCAGCAACGCCGCGUGAGGGAUGAAGGCCUUCGGGUUGUAAACCUCUUUUAGCAGGGAAGAAGCGAAAGUGACGGUACCUGCAGAAAAAGCACCGGCUAACUACGUGCCAGCAGCCGCCGUAA